rnacentral:rRNA from 1 species
GGUGACUGCGUACCUUUUGUAUAAUGGGUCAGCGACUUAUUUUCAGUGGCGAGCUUAACCGAAUAGGGGAGGCGUAGCGAAAGCGAGUCUUAAUAGGGCGUCUAGUCGCUGGGAAUAGACCCGAAACCGGGCGAUCUAUCCAUGGGCAGGUUGAAGGUUGGGUAACACUAACUGGAGGACCGAACCGACUACCGUUGAAAAGUUAGCGGAUGACCUGUGGAUCGGAGUGAAAGGCUAAUCAAGCUCGGAGAUAGCUGGUUCUCCUCGAAAGCUAUUUAGGUAGCGCCUCAUGUAUCACUGUAGGGGGUAGAGCACUGUUUCGGCUAGGGGGUCAUCCCGACUUACCAAACCGAUGCAAACUCCGAAUACCUACAAGUGCCGAGCAUGGGAGACACACGGCGGGUGCUAACGUCCGUCGUGAAAAGGGAAACAACCCAGACCGUCAGCUAAGGUCCCAAAGUUAUGGUUAAGUGGGAAACGAUGUGGGAAGGCUUAGACAGCUAGGAGGUUGGCUUAGAAGCAGCCACCCUUUAAAGAAAGCGUAAUAGCUCACUAGUCGAGUCGGCCUGCGCGGAAGAUGUAACGGGGCUCAAACCAUACACCGAAGCUACGGGUAUCACGUAAGUGAUGCGGUAGAGGAGCGUUCUGUAAGCCUGUGAAGGUGAGUUGAGAAGCUUGCUGGAGGUAUCAGAAGUGCGAAUGCUGACAUGAGUAACGACAAUGGGUGUGAAAAACACCCACGCCGAAAGACCAAGGUUUCCUGCGCAACGUUAAUCGACGCAGGGUUAGUCGGUCCCUAAGGCGAGGCUGAAAAGCGUAGUCGAUGGAAAACAGGUUAAUAUUCCUGUACUUCUGGUUAUUGCGAUGGAGGGACGGAGAAGGCUAGGCCAGCUUGGCGUUGGUUGUCCAAGUUUAAGGUGGUAGGCUGAGAUCUUAGGUAAAUCCGGGAUCUUAAGGCCGAGAGCUGAUGACGAG